UGGAUUCAGCUCAAGCUAUGAAGUACACUGCAGUAUAAAGAUUGAAAAAAUUGUAAGUGAUAAAAUGUAUCUCUUCUUAUUUUGUAGCCCUCUUUGAAUCCUGGUGGAAGCCAGUCCUCAGAUGUGGUACUUUUGAACCACUGGAAAGUGAGGAACUUUGAAGUGCAUCGUGGUGACAUUGUGUCAUUGGUGUUUUCAGAUGGACAAAGGGUGGACUCUUUCCAUCUCAUCAAAAUGGCUAAGUGUUUGUGUUUCCAUAUACUAUUUAGUAUGAUUUCUAAACUGGAAGAAAGAGUUCAAAAAAAAAAAAGCAUUUAAAACUUUUCAGAGGUGUGUUCAGAAGUCAUUUGUUAUUUCUGAAAGAAGGCAGCCAUAAUUAGUAUUCCUUAUGUGCUAUUGUAUUUGAAUGCAUUUAUAGUCUGUCAAAUCUAAUGUGUUUUAAAUGAGAUCAUUAGGCAAUAAAAUUUUUCAUUGUCACUAUGAUAGUGGCUGUGCAAAUCCUUUCUUCUACAAGGCUCUGAGAAAUUCAGCUAAACACCCUUGACAUCCCAGUUUUUAGUGGUGGCCAUUCAAGUGUAUUGCAACUUGGUUCCUUGGUAUCUUAGUUAUCUUCCCAGAACAAUUACAUCCUUUGCUCUCUAAAGUACUAUGGUAAACACUUUGAAUCUAGAAGGUCAUUAAUAUUUCUAACCAAGCAGACAAAGUGCUGUGAGCUAGGGCAGUGUAAGAAUGGUGGGUAUAGGUCUUUAUGAUCACCUCUUUAUGUUAGGCUCUCAGAAAACUAAUUAGCAGAUGUUUUGGAGGUCUUCCAAUUAGCAUGUAGGGUGAAAGCUGUAAGCCAUUCAAAAAUUUUCAAGCUGCCCUAGCUGAUUUUACACAAAUAUUUUACAUUUGAAUGCAAUGAUAAUUCCUAUAUUCAGAAUUCAAGCUAAAUUUUUUUCCCCCUAAAUAUCCUAAUUAUUUCAGGAUGUCCAAAAUAAAC
rnacentral:lncRNA from 1 species